rnacentral:rRNA from 2 species
UACGGAGGGUGCAAGCGUUAAUCGGAAUUACUGGGCGUAAAGGGUGCGUAGGUGGUUGAUUAAGUUAGGUGUGAAAUUCCUGGGCUUAACCUGGGCUGGAAACUUAAAACUGGUCGACUUGAGUAUGGGAGAGGGUAGUGGAAUUUCCGGUGUAGCGGUGAAAUGCGUAGAGAUCGGAAGGAACACCAGUGGCGAAGGCGGCUACCUGGCCUAAUACUGACACUGAAGCACGAAAGCGUGGGGAGCAAACAGG